rnacentral:misc_RNA from 1 species
UUAACUUGUUACCUUCUCAGGCGGGUGGCCUGUUCAGACUGCCUGGAUGAGCAAAGUUUUUGAGGUUGGGCCCUCCCCCAGGCACCUCAGGAAGACGACCGCGGAAGGGGUCGUCGGGCUGGCGGCAGUGGCCGCUGGCCUGGGGAAGCAACGUGGUGAGGGUACACAGUGGGUUGCAUUCUGGGGAGCACCACAGUGGCGCCCCCUGAUAUCUCUAAUGAUCCUUCCGCAGGUUCACCUACGGAAA